UACGUAGGGUGCGAGCGUUGUCCGGAAUUACUGGGCGUAAAGAGCUCGUAGGUGGUUUGUCGCGUUGUCCGUGAAAACUCACAACUCAAUUGUGGGCGUGCGGGCGAUUACGGGCAGACUGGAGUACUGCAGGGGAGACUGGAAUUCCUGGUGUAGCGGUGGAAUGCGCAGAUAUCAGGAGGAACACCGGUGGCGAAGGCGGGUCUCUGGGCAGUAACUGACGCUGAGGAGCGAAAGCGUGGGGAGCGAACGG
rnacentral:rRNA from 1 species